UGGGGAUUAGUUUAAUGGUAGAACAGCGGACUCUGACUCCGUCGGUCCUGGUUCGAGUCCAGGAUCCCCAGCCA
rnacentral:tRNA from 16 species